GACGAACCGUGCGACCGUUGUUCGGAAUCACUGGGCUUAAAGGGCGCGUAGGCGGGCUGUCAAGUCUGGGGUGAAAUCCCGCGGCUCAACCGUGGAACUGCCUCAGAUACUGACGGCCUCGAGGGAGAUAGGGGCGAGCGGAACUGUGAGUGGAGCGGUGAAAUGCGUUGAUAUUCACAGGAACUCCGGUGGCGAAGGCGGCUCGCUGGAUCUCUUCUGACGCUGAGGCGCGAAAGCCAGGGGAGCAAACGGG
rnacentral:rRNA from 1 species